rnacentral:rRNA from 1 species
AUUGAACGCUGGCGGCAGGCCUAACACAUGCAAGUCGAACGAGUGGCGGACGGGUGAGUAAUGUCUGGGAAACUGCCCGAUGGAGGGGGAUAACUACUGGAAACGGUAGCUAAUACCGCAUACCAUCGGAUGUGCCCAAAUGGGAUUAGCUAGUGGGUGGGUUAAAGGCUCACCUAGGAGACGAUCCCUAGCUGGUCUGAGAGGAUGACGGGCCACACUGGAACUGAGACAGGGUCCGGACUCCUACGGGAGGCAGCAGUGGGGAAUAUUGGACAAUGGGCGCAAGCCGGAUGCAGCCAGGCCGCGUGUAUGAAGAAGGCCUUCGGGUUGUAAAGUACUUUCAGCGAGGAGGCGUUACUCGCAGAAGAAGCACCGGCUAACUCCGUGCCAGCAGCCGCGGUAAUUC